GAUGAACGCUGGCGGCGUGCCUAAUACAUGCAAGUCGAGCGAACGGACGAGAAGCUUGCUUUUCUGAUGUUAGCGGCGGACGGGUGAGUAACACGUGGAUAACCUACCUAUAAGACUGGGAUAACUUCGGGAAACCGGAGCUAAUACCGGAUAAUAUUUUGAACCGCAUGGUUCAAAAGUGAAAGACGGUCUUGCUGUCACUUAUAGAUGGAUCCGCGCUGCAUUAGCUAGUUGGUAAGGUAACGGCUUACCAAGGCAAUGAUGCAUAGCCGACCUGAGAGGGUGAUCGGCCACACUGGAACUGAGACACGGUCCAGACUCCUACGGGAGGCAGCAGUAGGGAAUCUUCCGCAAUGGGCGAAAGCCUGACGGAGCAACGCCGCGUGAGUGAUGAAGGUCUUCGGAUCGUAAAACUCUGUUAUUAGGGAAGAACAUAUGUGUAAGUAACUGUGCACAUCUUGACGGUACCUAAUCAGAAAGCCACGGCUAACUACGUGCCAGCAGCCGCGGUAAUACGUAGGUGGCAAGCGUUAUCCGGAAUUAUUGGGCGUAAAGCGCGCGUAGGCGGUUUUUUAAGUCUGAUGUGAAAGCCCACGGCUCAACCGUGGAGGGUCAUUGGAAACUGGAAAACUUGAGUGCAGAAGAGGAAAGUGGAAUUCCAUGUGUAGCGGUGAAAUGCGCAGAGAUGUGGAGGAACACCAGUGGCGAAGGCGACUUUCUGGUCUGUAACUGACGCUGAUGUGCGAAAGCGUGGGGAUCAAACAGGAUUAGAUACCCUGGUAGUCCACGCCGUAAACGAUGAGUGCUAAGUGUUAGGGGGUUUCCGCCCCUUAGUGCUGCAGCUAACGCAUUAAGCACUCCGCCUGGGGAGUACGACCGCAAGGUUGAAACUCAAAGGAAUUGACGGGGGCCCGCACAAGCGGUGGAGCAUGUGGUUUAAUUCGAAGCAACGCGAAGAACCUUACCAAAUCUUGACAUCCUUUGACAACUCUAGAGAUAGAGCCUUCCCCUUCGGGGGACAAAGUGACAGGUGGUGCAUGGUUGUCGUCAGCUCGUGUCGUGAGAUGUUGGGUUAAGUCCCGCAACGAGCGCAACCCUUAAGCUUAGUUGCCAUCAUUAAGUUGGGCACUCUAAGUUGACUGCCGGUGACAAACCGGAGGAAGGUGGGGAUGACGUCAAAUCAUCAUGCCCCUUAUGAUUUGGGCUACACACGUGCUACAAUGGACAAUACAAAGGGCAGCGAAACCGCGAGGUCAAGCAAAUCCCAUAAAGUUGUUCUCAGUUCGGAUUGUAGUCUGCAACUCGACUACAUGAAGCUGGAAUCGCUAGUAAUCGUAGAUCAGCAUGCUACGGUGAAUACGUUCCCGGGUCU
rnacentral:rRNA from 1 species